GAUGAACGCUGGCGGCGUGCCUAAUACAUGCAAGUCGAGCGAACAGACGAGGAGCUUGCUCCUCUGACGUUAGCGGCGAACGGGUGAGUAACACGUGGAUAACCUACCUAUAAGACUGGGAUAACUUCGGGAAACCGGAGCUAAUACCGGAUAAUAUAUUGAACCGCAUGGUUCAAUAGUGAAAGACGGUUUUGCUGUCACUUAUAGAUGGAUCCGCGCCGCAUUAGCUAGUUGGUAAGGUAACGGCUUACCAAGGCAACGAUGCGUAGCCGACCUGAGAGGGUGAUCGGCAACACUGGAACUGAGACACGGUCCAGACUCCUACGGGAGGCAGCAGUAGGGAAUCUUCCGCAAUGGGCGAAAGCCUGACGGAGCAACGCCGCGUGAGUGAUGAAGGUCUUCGGAUCGUAAAACUCUGUUAUUAGGGAAGAACAAAUGUGUAAGUAACUAUGCACGUCUUGACGGUACCUAAUCAGAAAGCCACGGCUAACUACGUG
rnacentral:rRNA from 1 species